CCCCAGCACUUGGUACCUUAAUUUUCUUCUUCUUCUUCUUCCCUUUCUUAAAGGGAUGAUACCCGUGCAAGGAAAUGACUGAGAAACAAUAAGUAGGACUUCGGUAGGAAAAUCAAAAUCACAUCUUUCCCAAGCUACUUGUACAAGAAAAAGUAGAGAUUGCUGAGGUGCUCGAUCUGUUCGAUCAUAUACAAUGUAUG
rnacentral:lncRNA from 1 species